rnacentral:rRNA from 1 species
GACGAACGCUGGCGGCGCGCUUAACACAUGCAAGUCGAGCGAGAACCGGGGCUUCGGCCCCGGGGACAGCGGCGAACGGGUGAGUAACACGUGGGUAACCUGCCCUCGGCACCGGGAUAGCCCGGGGAAACUCGGAUUAAUACCGGAUGGCCCCUCCGGCCCUCGGGUCGGACGGGAAAGGUAGCUUCGGCCUCCGGCCGAGGAUGGGCCCGCGGCGGAUUAGCUUGUUGGUGGGGUAACGGCCCACCAAGGCGGCGAUCCGUAGCUGGUCUGAGAGGACGAUCAGCCACACUGGGACUGAGACACGGCCCAGACUCCUACGGGAGGCAGCAGUGGGGAAUCUUGCGCAAUGGGCGAAAGCCUGACGCAGCGACGCCGCGUGAGGGAAGAAGGCCUUCGGGUUGUAAACCUCUUUCAGGAGGGACGAAGCCACUCGGGUGAAUAGCCCAGAGGGUGACGGUACCUCCAGAAGAAGCCCCGGCUAACUACGUGCCAGCCGCCGCCGUAACAC